CCUACGGGAGGCAGCAGUCGAGAAUCAUUCACAAUGGGGGAAACCCUGAUGGUGCGACGCCGCGUGGGGGAAUGAAGGUCUUCGGAUUGUAAGCCCCUGUCAUGUGGGAGCAAAUUAAAAAUAUCGUACCACAAGAGGAAGCGACGGCUAACGCUGGGCCAGCAGCCGCGGUAAUACAGAGGUCGCAAGCGUUGUUCGGAAUCACUGGGGGUAAAGCGUGCGUAGGCUGGUUCGUAAGUCGUGUGUGAAGGGUGCGGGCUCAACCCGGGGACGGCACAUGAUACUGCGAGACUAGAGUAAUGGAGGGGGAACCGGAAUUCCAGGUGUAGCAGUGAAAUGCGUAGAUA
rnacentral:rRNA from 1 species